rnacentral:rRNA from 1 species
CCUACGGGAGGCAGCAGUGAGGAAUAUUGGUCAAUGGACGAGAGUCUGAACCAGCCAAGUAGCGUGAAGGAUGACUGCCCUAUGGGUUGUAAACUUCUUUUAUAUGGGAAUAAAAUGUUCCACGUGUGGGAUUUUGUAUGUACCAUAUGAAUAAGGAUCGGCUAACUCCGUGCCAGCAGCCGCGGUAAUACGGAGGAUCCGAGCGUUAUCCGGAUUUAUUGGGUUUAAAGGGCGUGUAGGUGGAUUGUUAAGUGCGUUGUGAAAGUUUGCGGCUGAACCGUAAAAUUGCAGUUGAAACUGGCAGUCUAGAGUACAGUAGAGGUAAGCGGAAUUCGUGGUGAAGCGGAGAAAUGCUUAGAUAUCACGAAGAACUCCGAUUGCGAAGGCAGUUCACUGGACUGCAACUGACACUGAGGCUCGAAAGUGUGGGUAGCAAACAGGAUUAGAUACCCGGGUAGUC